rnacentral:rRNA from 1 species
GAUGAACGCUAGCGGCAGGCCUAACACAUGCAAGUCGAACGGUAACAGAUCUAGCUUGCUAGAUGCUGACGAGUGGCGCACGGGUGAGUAACGCGUAUGCAAUCUACCUAUAACUGAGGGAUAGCCCAGAGAAAUUUGGAUUAAUACCUCAUAAUAUUAUUAUUUGGCAUCAUUUAAUAAUUAAAACUCCGGUGGUUAUAGAUGAGCAUGCGUUCUAUUAGCUUGUUGGUGAGGUAAGAGCUCACCAAGGCAACGAUAGAUAGGGGGCCUGAAAGGGUGAUCCCCCACACUGGUACUGAGACACGGACCAG